rnacentral:SRP_RNA from 1 species
GCCGGGCGUGGUGGCGUGCGCCUGUAGUCCCAGCUACUGGGAGGCUGAGGCAGGAGAAUGGCAUGAACCCGGGAGGCGGAGCUUGCAGUGAGCCAAGAUCGCGCCACUGCACUCCAGCCUGGGUGACAGAGCAAGACUCUGUCUCAA